UCCUACGGGAGGCAGCAGUGGGGAAUCUUAGACAAUGGGGGCAACCCUGAUCUAGCCAUGCCGCGUGAGUGAUGAAGGCCUUAGGGUCGUAAAGCUCUUUCGCCUGUGAUGAUAAUGACAGUAGCAGGUAAAGAAACCCCGGCUAACUCCGUGCCAGCAGCCGCGGUAAUACGGAGGGGGUUAGCGUUGUUCGGAAUUACUGGGCGUAAAGCGCGCGUAGGCGGAUUAGAAAGUUGGGGGUGAAAUCCCGGGGCUCAACCUCGGAACUGCCUCCAAAACUGCUAGUCUAGAGUUCGAGAGAGGUGAGUGGAAUUCCGAGUGUAGAGGUGAAAUUCGUAGAUAUUCGGAGGAACACCAGUGGCGAAGGCGGCUCACUGGCUCGAUACUGACGCUGAGGUGCGAAAGUGUGGGGAGCAAACAGGAUUAGAUACCCUGGUAGUCCACACCGUAAACGAUGAAUGCCAGUCGUCGGGUAGUAUACUAUUCGGUGACACACCUAACGGAUUAAGCAUUCCGCCUGGGGAGUACGGUCGCAAGAUUAAAACUCAAAUGAAUUGACGG
rnacentral:rRNA from 1 species